rnacentral:lncRNA from 1 species
CUUUGCUAUAGAACACUCAGAAGGAUGUUGCCCUCAGAUUCCCUUGCAAUGUUGGCUGUGAACACACAGAAGAAGGGCCUGUUGGAAGCUUGGCAUCGCUCUCCAAGCAUCCAAACAGCUGGGAGCAGGAAGAGCCACAGCCCAGAUUAGGGCUGGCUGAGGUCUCUAAAGAGUCCUCAUCCAGUGGCUGAUGGAAGCAGAGACAGACAUCCACAGAAAUACACUGAGCUGAAAUCUGGAACCUAGUUGAAGAGAGGGAGGAAUGAAGAAUGAAGGGGUCUGUACCAGGUUGGAGAAACCCACAGAAACAGUUGGCCUGAAAAAGGGAAAGCAUGUCGACCACAGAUGCUCUUUGGGAGGCCAGUACGGGACUAAUCCAGCCCCCUGAUCAUAGAUGCCAUCGGGGAGGCCCCUGCACUCCUGGGAGCCUCCAGAGGUGGACUGGCUUUUUGCCCUGGUGUGUGUGUGGGACUUCGAGAUCCCAUCCCACUUGAAGGGAUGCACUCUGUCUCUGAACACAUGGGGAGGGUCCCAGGCCCAGUACAGGAAGAUUUGGUGGACUUGGUGGAGCCCUGGUUGGGGGCCCUACCCUGCCUGGGG